CUGCAUUAUUAAGGAGGAUUCCUUAUUUUUUUCCAGAGAUAAGUCCACGUCUCACUCUUUGUACUCAACUCCAAAAAAAACCUAAUCACAAAUGCGAUCUUCUCUUUCAAAACUCUUCCGUCCUUGCACAAUAUCCAGAACAACGACCAUUUUCUCUCUCACUCACACUCUCAACAACCACCACCACCACCGCUCCAUGGCCACCACCACCACCACAACCGAUUCAAUCAAUCCAACAAACACAAGAAUCGGAUGGAUCGGAACAGGAGUAAUGGGAAGAUCCAUGUGUUCUCAUCUAAUCAAAGCUGGUUACUCACUGACAAUUUUCACUAGAACUCAAUCAAAAGCUCAACCUCUUCUUGAUAUGGGAGCUCACUUCGCUUCAUCUCCACUCUCAGUCGCUUCUUCUUCAGAUAUCGUCUUCUCAAUCGUCGGCUACCCAUCUGAUGUUCGUUCUGUCCUAAUCGGUUCUUCAGGCGCUCUGAAUUCUCUCCGUCCAGGCGGUAUACUCGUUGAUAUGACUACUAGUGACCCAUCUGUCGCAGUGGAGAUUGCCUCUGCUUCGUCCGCAAAGGGUUGUUUUGCAAUUGAUGCACCGGUAUCUGGUGGUGACCGUGGUGCGAAAAAUGGAACAUUGGCAAUAUUUGCAGGAGGCGAUGAAUCGGUAAUUCGUAAAAUUCAACCUGUUUUUGACUGUUUAGGGAAAGUUAAUUAUAUGGGUGGUGCUGGUAAAGGGCAAUUUGCUAAAUUAGCAAACCAGAUUACGAUUGCUUCAACCAUGGUCGGAUUAGUUGAGGGUAUGGUUUAUGCUCAUAGAGCUGGUUUGGAUGUUAGUCUGUAUUUGAAUGCUAUUUCUACUGGUGCUGCUGGAUCGAAAUCGUUGGAUUUAUAUGGGAAUAGGAUAUUGGGAAGAGAUUUUGAAGCGGGGUUUUUUGUGAAUCAUUUUGUCAAAGACUUGGGUAUUUGCAUUAUGGAGUGUCAGAAUAUGGGUCUUGCUUUACCUGGUUUGGCACUAGCUCAUCAGCUUUACAUUUCUCUUCAAGCUCAUGGUGAAGGGAAUUUGGGUACUCAGGCUCUCAUUUUAGCUCUUGAGCGACUUAAUAAUGUUAGUUUGGAAACGAAGAAGGCUUCGUCUUCUUAGUUUCGAGUAAGGUGAAUUUUUGCUGGAGUUCUUAGUGGAAUACAAGCAUGGUUGUUGCAUUUAUCAGCUCUCAACAGUCUCUGCUGCUUCUCGUGCUAUCCAACCUGUUGAUACUGCUGCCAACCUGAUUCUGUGGUUUUUCUUCUAUUUGGGUUUGGGAGAUGCGCGGACAUCACAAUUUGGACACCUACCAACUACUCUCUCUUCCGCUACUGCCAUACGUCUGCACCAACUGAUUUAUUGCUGCUGGUGCUUGCUGAAUGUUCCGCACAUUUAUCCAACUGUUGAUAUAUUGUCUGUUACACCAACUGGACCGUGAAAACCUUUUCUCGUUGCAACAAGAAUCCAGGAAACAAAAACCCUUACAGAA